rnacentral:rRNA from 1 species
UCUGGGAUAAGCGCUGGAAACGGCGUCUAAUACUGGAUACGAGUAGCGACCGCAUGGUCAGUUACUGGAAAGAUUUAUUGGUUGGGGAUGGGCUCGCGGCCUAUCAGCUUGUUGGUGAGGUAAUGGCUCACCAAGGCGUCGACGGGUAGCCGGCCUGAGAGGGUGACCGGCCACACUGGGACUGAGACACGGCCCAGACUCCUACGGGAGGCAGCAGUGGGGAAUAUUGCACAAUGGGCGCAAGCCUGAUGCAGCAACGCCGCGUGAGGGAUGACGGCCUUCGGGUUGUAAACCUCUUUUAGCAGGGAAGAAGCGAAAGUGACGGUACCUGCAGAAAAAGCGCCGGCUAACUACGUGCCAGCAGCCGCGGUAAUACGUAGGGCGCAAGCGUUAUCCGGAAUUAUUGGGCGUAAAGAGCUCGUAGGCGGUUUGUCGCGUCUGCUGUGAAAUCCGGAGGCUCAACCUCCGGCCUGCAGUGGGUACGGGCAGACUAGAGUGCGGUAGGGGAGAUUGGAAUUCCUGGUGUAGCGGUGGAAUGCGCAGAUAUCAGGAGGAACACCGAUGGCGAAGGCAGAUCUCUGGGCCGUAACUGACGCUGAGGAGCGAAAGGGUGGGGAGCAAACAGGCUUAGAUACCCUGGUAGUCCACCCCGUAAACGUUGGGAACU